UAGCCUGUGAGGAUACCAAAUAUGAAGAACACCAUCUUUGAGGACUGAAUGGCUUAAGGCCAUGGUGACAUAUUCUGCAAUUCUGAGGCUU